AUGGCCUGGCUGGUCCUGCCUCAAUCCUCCAGGGGCACCCAGCUCCUCUGUUGCAUGGUCCUGUAUCUGCUGGGACCAGGGUCAUUGGCUGCUGGAGUCACCCAGUCCCCAAGACACCUCAUCAAAGGCCGUGGUGGGGAGGCCGUUCUGAAAUGCCAUCCCAUCUCUGGACACAAGAGUGUGUACUGGUACCAACAGGCUCGGGGGCAGGAACCCAAGUUUCUCAUUCGGUAUUAUGAACAGCAGGAGUACGUGAAAGAAAACUUCCCCGACUGCUUCAAAGGGAAACAGUUCAGAGACUACAGCUCCGAGCUGGCCAUGCACACCUUGCAGCUGGAGGACUCGUCCGUGUACCUCUGUGCCAGCAGCUUAGACACAGCCUGCAGGGCCCAUGCCUUUCUCAAAGGAGAGGAUGCUGAUGGGUACAGUGCGUCUAGAGUGAACAUGGAGGACUUCCUGCUCAUGCUGGAGUCGGCCACCCCCUCCCAGACAUCUGUGUACUUCUGUGCCAGCAGAAAAGUGGUGAUCCACAGCGCUGCACGACCACCCUCUUUCUGCACAAAAACGAUUGUUGCGGCCCUGCACUCGGGAUUCAUGGGACCCCUGAGCAAACUCCUACACCUGAGAGCCCUGAGGCACCUUGCCUGCAGGGAGACCACAGGUGUGUGA